rnacentral:misc_RNA from 1 species
GUAAUCGAACCGGUGCUUGCUCGUCGCCGGGUCGACGGUCAUCCCGCAAACCGGGUCGAGGACUUUCUCCUUUUCCGCGGGAGGUUGAUGAUGCCCGUGAUUGCCGUGGGCUUGGCCGCCAUGCUGGUGGGUUGCCAUCGAGGAGGCGUCCGGCUAACUUGCGUUUCGCGACCUGGUCAUUUAGGCCUCCUCAUUGACUUGUAACAGGUACCCGGUAGGGGUAUAUAAAGCGAAUGCGAAAAGACAUCAAGACGUCAUGCCAGA